rnacentral:rRNA from 1 species
GACGAACGCUGGCGGCGUGCUUAACACAUGCAAGUCGAACGGAAAGGCCCUGCUUUUGUGGGGUGCUCGAGUGGCGAACGGGUGAGUAACACGUGAGUAACCUGCCCUUGACUUUGGGAUAACUUCAGGAAACUGGGGCUAAUACCGGAUAGGAUCUCCUGCUGCAUGGUGGGGGUUGGAAAGUUUCGGCUGUUGGGGAUGGACUCGCGGCUUAUCAGCUUGUUGGUGGGGUAGUGGCUUACCAAGGCUUUGACGGGUAGCCGGCCUGAGAGGGUGACCGGCCACAUGGGGACUGAGAUAGGGCCCAGACGCCUACGGGAGGCAGCAGUGGGGAAUAUUGCACAAUGGGCGGAAGCCUGAGGCAGCAACGCCGCGUGCGGGAUGACGGCCUUCGGGUUGUAAACCGCUUUCGCCUGUGACGAAGCGUGAGUGACGGUAAUGGGUAAAGAAGCACCGGCUAACUACGUG